GGUUAAGUGACUAAGCGUACAGGGCGGAUGCCUUGGCAAUCAGAGGCGAAGAAGGACGUGCUAAUCUGCGAAAAGCUUGGAUGAGUCGAUAAGAGGCGUUUAAUCCAAGAUGUCCGAAUGGGGAAACCCGAUGGAUGAAGAAUCCAUCAUUUCAUUGUGAAUACAUAGCAAUGAAAGGCGAACCGGGAGAACUGAAACAUCUAAGUACCCCGAGGAAAAGAAAUCAACCGAGAUUCUGUGAGUAGCGGCGAGCGAAAGCGGAAGAGCCAGUAAGUUUUAGCUAGUGUAUUAGAGGAAUUGGCUGGGAAGCCAAAUCAAAGAGGGUGAUAAUCCCGUACUCGAAAAUACGAUAGUGGAACUAAGCUUACGAUAAGUAGGGCGGGACACGAGAAAUCCUGUUUGAAGAUGGGGGGACCAUCCUCCAAGGCUAAAUACUCCUGAUUGACCGAUAGUGAACCAGUACUGUGAAGGAAAGGCGAAAAGAACCCCGGUGAGGGGAGUGAAAUAGAACCUGAAACCCUGUACGUACAAGCAGUAGGAGCGAGGGCAACCUUGUGACUGCGUACCUUUUGUAUAAUGGGUCAGCGACUUAUAUUUUGUAGCGAGGUUAACUGAAUAAGGGAGCCGAAGGGAAACCGAGUCUUAACUGGGCGUUGAGUUGCAAGGUAUAGACCCGAAACCCGGUGAUCUAGCCAUGGGCAGGUUGAAGGUUGGGUAACACUAACUGGAGGACCGAACCGACUAAUGUUGAAAAAUUAGCGGAUGACUUGUGGCUGGGGGUGAAAGGCCAAUCAAACCGGGAGAUAGCUGGUUCUCCCCGAAAUCUAUUUAGGUAGAGCCUUGAGCGGACACCUUCGGGGGUAGAGCACUGUUUCGGCUAGGGGUCCAUCCCGGAUUACCAACCCGAUGCAAACUGCGAAUACCGAAGAGUGAUACUCAGGAGACACACGGCGGGUGCUAACGUUCGUCGUGGAGAGGGAAACAACCCAGACCGCCAGCUAAGGUCCCAAAGUCUAUAUUAAGUGGGAAACGAAGUGGGAAGGCUUAGACAGCUAGGAUGUUGGCUUAGAAGCAGCCAUCAUUUAAAGAAAGCGUAAUAGCUCACUAGUCGAGUCGGCCUGCGCGGAAGAUGUAACGGGGCUCAAAUAUAGCACCGAAGCUGCGGCAUCAGAAUUUAUUCUGUUGGGUAGGGGAGCGUUGUGUAAGCGGAAGAAGGUGGCUCGAGAGGGUUGCUGGACGUAUCACAAGUGCGAAUGCUGACAUAAGUAACGAUAAAACGAGUGAAAAACUCGUUCGCCGGAAGACCAAGGGUUCCUGUCCAACGUUAAUCGGGGCAGGGUGAGUCGGCCCCUAAGGCGAGGCUGAAAAGCGUAGUCGAUGGGAAACGGGUUAAUAUUCCCGUACUUGGUAAAGCUGCGAUGUGGGGACGGAGAAGGUUAGG
rnacentral:rRNA from 1 species